rnacentral:rRNA from 1 species
CCCCAGCGCCACAAGUGGGGAUCGGUUUUAUUUGGUCUAAAGCGUCCGUAGCAGGUCUUGUAAAUUUUUUGUGAAUUUGUUGCGCUCAACGCAACACACUGCAGAAAAGACUGCAAGACUUGGGAUUGGGAGGAGUAAGCAGUAUUCUCGGGGGAGCGGUAAAAUGUUAUAAUCCCGAGAGGACUACCUGUGCCGAAGGGGGCUUACUAGUACAAAUUCGACUGUGAGGGACGAAAGCUAGGGGAGCGAAAAG